UAACGUUUUUUUUUUUUAAAGGGUUACUGGGUUAAAAACCUUACGAAUGGCAUUGGUAUAACAGAAAAUUACUAGGCGGCAUUUGCCUAAAACCGGCCAUACACAUUGGAUAAAACAUUUAUAAAAGCUUUUAUCAGCAGGAUUGCCUGACUCUGUUGUGAGUGUCUACCGAACCUCUCCCAUGAAAGAGCCCGUUGUUUCUGCUGUCCCAGAGGUCUUUGGCUACUGCUUAUUCCCCAUUGCCUACUGAAACAAACAUGGAGUUAGUUACCUAAGGGCGCCUGAAGAAACGCCCACUGGCAUGAAACGGCACCGUCGUGCUCCGGUGAACGUCCCUGCCUGCGGAACAUCCUGCUCUGCUCCUUCCACACGGGGAUCAUGUUUGGGACUACUACGUCUGUACGAUGAUGUACUCUGAAUAAACAGAAGUCCAUUUGAACAGAGAAAAAAAAAAGGAAGACCAGGGUGCAGCGCCUCGUGUAUGACCCUUGGUGUUACUGACCCUGUCACAAAUGGAGACUAGAGGAAAGAUUGGCGCUCACCUUGACCAAAGAAAGAUUGCGCCUAUCAUCCCAACUAGUGGGGUAGCAAGUAAAAGAGUAGAGAGCUGCUCAGCCUGUGAGGCUGCAGGAGAUGGGGGCUGCCCGUCCUGUCCAAAUGCGGUGAAAAUUAAGUAAAAACCUUUAUAACAGAUGCUGCUUCGCUCCAAUAAAAAAGUUGAAUCUGUAGAUGGUAUUCCAAUGCCUAAAGCAUAUGUUUAAUAAAGAGUAUAAUAAUAAAACAAUGA